CAUCUUUGCUAACUUCUUUCUGGGUUUCCUGCUAGGGAACAUUUUGGCACAGGUUUAUAUGGUUUAAAUUGGGUCAAAAGACCCUUUGUUUACAAGUGAAAUUUUAAAAUUGGUAGCAUCUAAGAAGUUAAAAACCAUAUGUGCAAUUUAUAUCUUUAUUACCUGAUCAAAUGAGUGUGUAGGUUAUCAUCUUUGGCCUAUGCAUUAAAUUUGUCUGGUGACCAUGGAAAAGUUGGUAGUUCACUACCAAAAUUUCAGAUUUAAGUGCUGUUAAUAUAUUUUGAAACAAUUUUUCUGUAGCUGAGUUACUUCUCAAAAAGCUUGUUGCCAUUAUUAUGCAUAAUGUAAAUGUGCUUAUUUUGAAGAGCAACUGUAGUAAGUUUUGAUUUUCAGAUUUUCCACAAGCGAAUGCCUCCCGAAGCUAUAGAUCUUACAUCACGCCUUCUCCAAUACUCCCCAUGUUUUCGUUGCUCUGCACUGGAAGCAUGUGCCCAUCCCUUCUUUGAUGAGCUACGAGAACCUAAUGCGCGAUUGCCAAAUGGUCGCCCUCUGCCUCCUCUUUUCAACUUUAAUCAAGAAUUGGCUGGAGCAUCACCAGAGCUUAUUAACAAAUUGAUUCCAGAACAUGUGAGGCGGCAAUCUGGUCUCGGUUUCUUGCAUCCAGCCGGGACAUAAACUCAUAACACUUCCGAAGUGUGGUUCUCAGAAGAUAGAAGGCCCUUGUAUUGUUCAUUUCAUGUCCAUGAGAAAGUUUAGGAAAAAGAUGGCUCACUUGAUGGAAGCUGACAAGGCAUAGCUUCUGGACUGUUUAGGUGGGUCCCUAGCCGAUGCUCCUAUAAACUUGUGACUCUUUGAGUGUUAAGAUAUAUGACUAGAGGGCAGGGUGCAGGUUUCUUCGCAGUGUUGUUUGGCUGAUACAUUUCUGUUCUCAAUGAUUAGCCUGGUUAUCUUGGUUUCUAUUUAAUAGUACUGGAGGAUGGUAAUUUUAAGGUGGUUUGAUGUAGUAGCCUGUUGUGUAAAUGUAAUACCUGAUUCAUAGUUUGGAUGGUGUGGAGCUGGAAACUGGGAAAUCCAUGUAUCACCCCAAUUUAUAUUGUAUCUUCGACCUCUGCUUCGAGUCUGAUGACUGCUAACCUAUUGAUUUAUGACUUGUGCCUGCUCAUGCAAGCGUUGGUGAUGAUUUCUACAGCCUUAACCACUGCAGCUAGUGACGCACUUAUCAGAGAUGGUCAAUGCACAAGGAGUUUGGUGGAAAUCCAAGGCCUCCUGUGAUUUCCAAAUGAGAAGGCUACCAAACCCAAGUUAUUGACUUGUGGCAGAGGAGGCAUUCUCUUCAGGAGAAGUCCCAACGCAUGUGCUGCUUCAUUCUCUGUGGCAUGUGGAAGACAGCACGAGGUUCCAUACCACCAAAGUGUCCUGUAAUUGUCAACCACCCUUCAGAAGUUGGGGAAUUUAUGUCUUCUCAAAAUCUGGAAACAGUCUUUUUGCCCAUGCAAAUUUUUCAUGGCAUGUUCUUUCAAAUAUUAAAAUCUUUCUUGUG